rnacentral:rRNA from 1 species
UUAAGCGACUAAGCGUACACGGUGGAUGCCCUGGCAGUCAGAGGCGAUGAAGGACGUGCUAAUCUGCGAAAAGCGUCGGUAAGGUGAUAUGAACCGUUAUAGCCGGCGAUGUCCGAAUGGGGAAACCCAGUGCAAUUCGUUGCACCAUCGUUAACUGAAUACAUAGGUUAACGAGGCGAACCGGGGGAACUGAAACAUCUAAGUACCCCGAGGAAAAGAAAUCAACCGAGAUUCCCCCAGUAGCGGCGAGCGAACGGGGAGCAGCCCAGAGUCUGAAUCAGCUUGUGUGUUAGUGGAACGGUCUGGAAAGUCCGACGGUACAGGGUGAUAGUCCCGUACACCAAAAUGCACAGGCUGUGAACUCGAAGAGUAGGGCGGGACACGUGGUAUCCUGUCUGAAUAUGGGGGGACCAUCCUCCAAGGCUAAAUACUCCUGACUGACCGAUAGUGAACCAGUACCGUGAGGGAAAGGCGAAAAGAACCCCGGCGAGGGGAGUGAAAAAGAACCUGAAACCGUGUACGUACAAGCAGUGGGAGCACCUUCGGGUGUGACUGCGUACCUUUUGUAUAAUGGGUCAGCGACUUAUAUUCUGUAGCAAGGUUAACCGUAUAGGGGAGCCGCAGGGAAACCGAGUCUUAACUGGGCGUUAAGUUGCAGGGUAUAGACCCGAAACCCGGUGAUCUAGCCAUGGGCAGGUUGAAGGUUGGGUAACACUAACUGGAGGACCGAACCGACUAAUGUUGAAAAAUUAGCGGAUGACUUGUGGCUGGGGGUGAAAGGCCAAUCAAACCGGGAGAUAGCUGGUUCUCCCCGAAAGCUAUUUAGGUAGCGCCUCGUGAAUUCAUCUUCGGGGGUAGAGCACUGUUUCGGCUAGGGGGUCAUCCCGACUUACCAACCCGAUGCAAACUACGAAUACCGAAGAAUGUUAUCACGGGAGACACACGGCGGGUGCUAACGUCCGUCGUGAAGAGGGAAACAACCCAGACCGCCAGCUAAGGUCCCAAAGUCAUGGUUAAGUGGGAAACGAUGUGGGAAGGCACAGACAGCCAGGAUGUUGGCUUAGAAGCAGCCAUCAUUUAAAGAAAGCGUAAUAGCUCACUGGUCGAGUCGGCCUGCGCGGAAGAUGUAACGGGGCUAAACCAUGCACCGAAGCUGCGGCAGCGACACUAUGUGUUGUUGGGUAGGGGAGCGUUCUGUAAGCCUGCGAAGGUGUGCUGUGAGGCAUGCUGGAGGUAUCAGAAGUGCGAAUGCUGACAUAAGUAACGAUAAAGCGGGUGAAAAGCCCGCUCGCCGGAAGACCAAGGGUUCCUGUCCAACGUUAAUCGGGGCAGGGUGAGUCGACCCCUAAGGCGAGGCCGAAAGGCGUAGUCGAUGGGAAACAGGUUAAUAUUCCUGUACUUGGUGUUACUGCGAAGGGGGGACGGAGAAGGCUAUGUUAGCCGGGCGACGGUUGUCCCGGUUUAAGCAUGUAGGCUGGUUGUCCAGGCAAAUCCGGAUAAUCAAGGCUGAGGUGUGAUGACGAGGCACUACGGUGCUGAAGUAACAAAUGCCCUGCUUCCAGGAAAAGCCUCUAAGCAUCAGGUAACAUCAAAUCGUACCCCAAACCGACACAGGUGGUCAGGUAGAGAAUACCAAGGCGCUUGAGAGAACUCGGGUGAAGGAACUAGGCAAAAUGGUGCCGUAACUUCGGGAGAAGGCACGCUGGUGUGUAGGUGAAGCCCCUGCGGGUGGAGCUGAGACCAGUCGAAGAUACCAGCUGGCUGCAACUGUUUAUUAAAAACACAGCACUGUGCAAACACGAAAGUGGACGUAUACGGUGUGACGCCUGCCCGGUGCCGGAAGGUUAAUUGAUGGGGUUAUCCGUAAGGAGAAGCUCUUGAUCGAAGCCCCGGUAAACGGCGGCCGUAACUAUAACGGUCCUAAGGUAGCGAAAUUCCUUGUCGGGUAAGUUCCGACCUGCACGAAUGGCGUAAUGAUGGCCAGGCUGUCUCCACCCGAGACUCAGUGAAAUUGAACUCGCUGUGAAGAUGCAGUGUACCCGCGGCAAGACGGAAAGACCCCGUGAACCUUUACUAUAGCUUGACACUGAACAUUGAGCCUUGAUGUGUAGGAUAGGUGGGAGGCUUUGAAGCGUGGACGCCAGUCUGCGUGGAGCCAACCUUGAAAUACCACCCUUUAAUGUUUGAUGUUCUAACGUUGGCCCCUGACCGGGGUUGCGGACAGUGUCUGGUGGGUAGUUUGACUGGGGCGGUCUCCUCCCAAAGCGUAACGGAGGAGCACGAAGGUUAGCUAAUCCUGGUCGGACAUCAGGAGGUUAGUGCAAUGGCAUAAGCUAGCUUGACUGCGAGCGUGACGGCGCGAGCAGGUGCGAAAGCAGGUCAUAGUGAUCCGGUGGUUCUGAAUGGAAGGGCCAUCGCUCAACGGAUAAAAGGUACUCCGGGGAUAACAGGCUGAUACCGCCCAAGAGUUCAUAUCGACGGCGGUGUUUGGCACCUCGAUGUCGGCUCAUCACAUCCUGGGGCUGAAGUAGGUCCCAAGGGUAUGGCUGUUCGCCAUUUAAAGUGGUACGCGAGCUGGGUUUAGAACGUCGUGAGACAGUUCGGUCCCUAUCUGCCGUGGGCGCUGGAGAAUUGAGGGGGGCUGCUCCUAGUACGAGAGGACCGGAGUGGACGCAUCACUGGUGUUCGGGUUGUCAUGCCAAUGGCACUGCCCGGUAGCUAAAUGCGGAAGAGAUAAGUGCUGAAAGCAUCUAAGCACGAAACUUGCCCCGAGAUGAGUUCUCCCUGAGACUUUAAGUCUCCUGAAGGAACGUUAAAGACGAUGACGUUGAUAGGCCGGGUGUGUAAGCGCAGCGAUGCGUUGAGCUAACCGGUACUAAUGAACCGUGAGGCUUAACCUU